GGAGAGGUGGCCGAGCGGUUUAAGGCAGCGGUCUUGAAAACCGCCGUACGUGCAAGCGUACCGUGGGUUCGAAUCCCACCCUCUCCGCCA
rnacentral:tRNA from 6 species